rnacentral:lncRNA from 1 species
AUGCAUGGAUUACCUUACAGAGCUCCUGAGAAUGACAUUUAUAAUUUUUUUUCACUGCUCAAUCCUGAGAGAGUACACAUUGAAAUUGGUCCUGAUGGCAGAGUGGUGAAGCAGAUGUCGAGUUUGCAACUCAUGAAGAUGCUGUGGCAGCUGUGUCAAAAGACAAAGCAAAUAUGUGGAAGUGUGAUUGAGCAUUUGUGGGCUCUUAACAGAACACAGAUAUGUAGAACUCUUCUUGAAUUCUACAGCAGGAGCAAGUGGUGGUGCUUUUGGUAG